rnacentral:lncRNA from 1 species
UUAUAAAAUAUGUUCACAGUAGGAGUAUAAGUUUUAUCCUGAUGUGUAUUUCAAUAGACCUGCAAUAUGUAUUGCCAAAAUACCAUUUUUAGCCAGAAGGGCCAAGUCCUGCAUACUUUGCCAACAACAGCAAUAAAGCUAGAUAGAAGCUAAGCCCAGGAUUGCAUGGUGCAUUGGCUAAUCUCUGAAGCAGCAGCCACAAAGCAUGUAUACCUGAAUAGCCUAUCAUUUUGUCAAAUGUGGACUUUAAGAAGGAUGCUGGUUUCAUUCUUUUUA